rnacentral:rRNA from 1 species
AGCGGUGGAGUAUGUGGCUUAAUUCGAAGCAACGCGCAGAACCUUACCAGGGCUUGACAUGUAUGGAUUAGUUGUGUGAAAGCACAAUGACGCUCGCAAGAGUGGAACUUACACAGGUGCUGCAUGGCUGUCGUCAGCUCGUGCUGUGAAGUGUCGGGUUAAGUCCCAUAACGAGCGAAACCCCUAUCGUUAGUUGCCAGCAUGUAAUGGUGGGCACUCUAACGAGACUGCCGGUGUUAAACCGGAGGAAGGCGGGGAUGACGUCAAGUCCUCAUGG